rnacentral:rRNA from 1 species
UACGAAGGGUGCAAACGUUGCCCGGAAUUAUUGGGCGUAAAGCGCACGUAGGCGGCUUGUCAAGUCGGAUGUGAAAUCCCUCGGCUCAACCAAGGAAGUGCAUCCGAAACUGCCGAGCUUGAGUACUUAAGAGGAUCGCGGAAUUCCCGGUGUAGCGGUGAAAUGCGCAGAUAUCGGGAGGAACACCGGUGGCGAAGGCGGUUCUCUGGGCCUUACCUGACGCUGAGGAGCGAAAGCGUGGGGAGCGAACAGG